AUACGGAGGAUCCGAGCGUUAUCCGGAUUUAUUGGGUUUAAAGGGUGCGCAGGCGGGAGAUUAAGUCGGCGGUGAAAUUUUUCAGCUCAACUGUAAAAGUGCCUUCGAAACUGGUUUCCUUGAGUGUAGAUGAAGUAGGCGGAAUUUGUGGGGGUGCGGUGAAAUACAUAGAUAUCACGAGGAACUCCGAUUGCGCAGGCAGCUUACUAAACUACUACUGACGCUCAGGCACGAAGGCGUGGGGAUCAAACAGGAUUAGAUACCCUGGUAGUCCACGCAGUAAACGAUGAUUACUAGCUGUUUGCGAUACAAUGUAAGCGGCUGAGCGAAAGCGUUAAGUAAUCCACCUGGGGAGUACGUUCGCAAGAAUGAAACUCAAAGGAAUUGACGGGG
rnacentral:rRNA from 1 species